AGGAAACCAACCGGGAUUGCCUCAGUAACGGCGAGUGAAGCGGCAAGAGCUCAAAUUUGAAAUCUGGCCCCCUCGGGGUCCGAGUUGUAAUUUGGAGAGGAUGCUUCGGGUGCGGUCCCCGUCUAAGUGCCCUGGAACGGGCCGUCAUAGAGGGUGAGAAUCCCGUCUGGGAUGGGCGGCCGCGCCCGUGUGAAGCUCCUUCGACGAGUCGAGUUGUUUGGGAAUGCAGCUCUAAGCGGGUGGUAAAUUUCAUCUAAAGCUAAAUACUGGCCGGAGACCGAUAGCGCACAAGUAGAGUGAUCGAAAGAUGAAAAGCACUUUGAAAAGAGAGUUAAACAGCACGUGAAAUUGUUGAAAGGGAAGCGUUGGCCCCCAGACGCGCCCAGGGGGGUUCAGCCGGCACGUGUGCCGGUGCACUCCCCCCUGGGUGGGCCAGCAUCGGUUUGGGCGGUCGCUGAAAGGCCCCGGGAAUGUAGCACCCUCCGGGGUGCCUUAUAGCCCGGGGUGUCAUGCGGCCCGCCUGGACCGAGGCCCGCGCUUCGGCGAGGAUGCUGGCGUAAUGGUGGUCAACGGCCCGUCUUGAAACACGGACCAAGGAGUCUAACAUCUAUGCGAGUGUUCGGGUGUCAAACCCGUCCGCGCAGUGAAAGCGAACGCAGGUGGGAACCCCUCCCGGGGCGCACCAUCGACCGAUCCUGAUGUCUUCGGAUGGAUUUGAGUAAGAGCAUAGCUGUUGGGGACCCGAAAGAUGGUGAACUAUGCCUGAAUAGGGCGAAGCCAGAGGAAACUCUGUGGAGGCUCGCAGCGGUUCUGACUGCAAUCCAUCGCAAAUUUGGGUAUAGGGCGAAGACUAAUCGAACCAUCUGGUAGCUGGUUCCUGUCCAGUUUCCGGUGGGGGACGCGCUACCAGAUGGUUCGAUUAGUCUUUCGCCUCUUUACCAAAUUUGAGCAUGGAGUUGGCACGUCAGAACCGGUGGAGC
rnacentral:rRNA from 1 species